AUUGAACGCUGGCGGGAGGCCUAACACAUGCAAGUCGAACGAGUGGCGGACGGGUGAGUACUGUAUGGGAACAUGCCCGGUGGAUGGGUAUGCCUACUGGUAACGGUAGCUAAUACCGCAUACCAUCGGAUGUACCCAGAUGGGAGUAGCUUGUGGGGGGGGUAACGCCUCACCAAGGCGACGAUCCCUAGCUGGUCUGAGAGGAUGACCAGCCACACUGGAACGGAGACACGGUCCAGACUCCUACGGGAGGCAGCAGUGGGGAAUAUUGCACAAUGGGCGCAAGCCUGAUGCAGCCAUGCCGCGUGUAUGAAGAAGGCCUUCGGGUUGUAAAGUACUUUCAGCGAGGAGGCGUUACUCGCAGAAGAAGCACCGGCUAACUCCGUGCCAGCAGCCGCGGUAAUUC
rnacentral:rRNA from 1 species